GACGAAGGGGGCUAGCGUUGUUCGGAAUUACUGGGCGUAAAGCGCGUGUAGGCGGUUAUCCAAGUCGGGUGUGAAAGCCUUGAGCUUAACUCAAGAAAUGCACUCGGUACUGGGUGACUAGAGGACCGGAGAGGAUAGUGGAAUUCCCAGUGUAGUGGUGAAAUACGUAGAGAUUGGGAAGAACACCAGUGGCGAAGGCGGCUAUCUGGACGGUUUCUGACGCUGAAGCACGAAGGCCAGGGGAGCAAACGGG
rnacentral:rRNA from 1 species